GGUAAAACUAUACAGGUUUUAGCAUUUGAAAGGCGUCACACUUCCGACCAGUCCACACAGCCAAAUGAGACCACAUAUCUUGGACCUGAUCUCAAAUGAGAUCAUGCACAAGACGCACCUCGCAAAGGCCAUGACAGUAUAGUUUUCAGACCUGAUCAGCUGGUGACUGCUCUAUGAAGUGCUGUUCAACCUCCCCUAAGGGGGAGAUUCGAGAGGGUCUCCUGAUUGCUGAACACUACGCCAUGGUUGUUGUCAUCUCCAAAAAGUUUGCCCUGCCCAUAUCAACAGUGGAAGAGAACAUGAGAUGGGCCUUGAGGAGGCUUCGUGUCAUGUACUGCGGGGAGAAUAUAUAAACUGUUUAGUGCUGAGCAAUAUGUUCCUUUGUUCAUAGGUGUAAAUAUGUGUAAAGGGCUAUUCCAGGAAAAGAUAGGAUGGAGGAUUCCUUAAUGUUGUCAUUUUAUAAAUCCGGUACCACCAACACAGUUAAAAACAAUUAUUAUUAAUUUUAUCCUCUGUAUCACCCCUCACUAACUGAAACUGUAUAUAAUCAUGGUUCAUACCCUUCCUCCCAUUUUUACCUGUGGAAGCCCAAAGAGGAGAAUGUUAUUUAUUUUAAUUUAUUAUGUUAAAUGUGCUCGCAUAUUGAAUAAUGUAUCUUGGGUAGAUGUUUUCCUGGUUUUGUUAAAAAUGC